rnacentral:rRNA from 1 species
CAAUAGCGUAUAUUAAAGUUGUUGCGGUUAAAAGCUCGUAGUUGGAUUUCUGCUGAGGACGAUCGGUCCGCCCUCUGGGUGAGCAUUGACUCGGCCUUGGCAUCUUCUUGGAGAACGCUACUGCACUUGACUGUGUGGUGCGGUAUCCAGGACUUUUACUUUGAGGAAAUUAGAGUGUUCACGGCAGGCAUUCGCCUUGAAUACAUUAGCAUGGAAUAAUAAUAUAGGACCUUGGUACUAUUUUGUUGGUUUCUAGAACUAAGGUAAUGAUUAAUAGGGAUAAUUGGGGGCGAUUCGUAUUAACGCGUCAGAGGUGGAAUUCUUGGAUUGCGUUACGACGAACUACUGCGAAAGCAUUUGCCAAGGAUGUUUUCAUUGAUCAAGAACGAAAGUUAGGGGAUCGAAGAUGAUUAGAUACCAU